CACGAACCGUACGAACGUUAUUCGGAAUUACUGGGCUUAAAGGGUUUGUAGGCGGCCUUGUAAGUCAGGUGUGAAAGCCCUCGGCUCAACCGAGGAACAGCGCUUGAUACUGCAAGGCUUGAGGGAGACAGGGGUAAGCGGAACUGAUGGUGGAGCGGUGAAAUUCGUAGAUAUCAAGCAGAACACCUGUGGCGAAGGCGGCCUUCUGGACGAUGACUGACGCUGAGACGCGAAAGCGUGGGGAGCAAACAGG
rnacentral:rRNA from 1 species